UGGGGAAUAUUGGGCAAUGGGCGAAAGCCUGACCCAGCAACGCCGCGUGAGUGAUGAAGGCCUUCGGGUUGUAAAACUCUUUGGACAGGGACGAAGAAAGUGACGGUACCUGUAGAACAAGCCACGGCUAACUACGUGCCAGCAGCCGCGGUAAUACGUAGGUGGCGAGCGUUAUCCGGAUUUACUGGGCGUAAAGCGCGCGUAGGCGGUUUGUUAGGUCAGGAGUUAAAUCUGGGGGCUCAACCCCUAUCCGCUCCUGAUACCGGCAGGCUUGAGUCUGGUAGGGGAAGGCGGAAUUCCAAGUGUAGCGGUGAAAUGCGCAGAUAUUUGGAAGAACACCGGUGGCGAAGGCGGCCUUCUGGGCCACGACUGACGCUGAGGCGCGAAAGCUAGGGGAGCGAACAGG
rnacentral:rRNA from 1 species